ACACAGAUACUGGGUAGUAUGUAUAUGUGCUGCCAGGCACUCAAAGACACUGAACUCUCAGCUUGAGGCAGAAACUAAGCAUAUUUGUGCAGGGAAAUCCAUGCCUCAUGCCGCUCUGCAGCCUGCUCUGGGUGCUCCUGGCCUUCACCUUCUCUGGAUCUGGUGUGGCGCAGAAUGUUAUUCAAGACCAGCCAAACACAUCCGGUCAACUGGGACAGUCAGUCACCCUGAACUGUCGGUAUGGAACAACCAGGAGCUAUUACUACAUGUUUUGGUACAAGCUGCUUCCCAAUGGAGAGAUGAUUUACCUUAUUAGUCAGGCUUCUUCUGGCCAGAAUGCAAGGAAUGGCCGCUACUCUGUAAAUUUUCAGAAAGCUCGUAAAUCCAUCAGCCUCACCAUUUCAGACUUACAGCUGGAAGAUUCUGCCGAGUAUUUCUGUGCUCUCUGGGGCUCCUGGGACACCCGACAGAUAUUUUUUGGAGCUGGCACCAAACUCUUCGUGGAGCCCCAAAGUCAACCUGCUGCCAGCCCAUCUGUUUUUGUCAUGAAAAAUGGGACAAACGUCGCUUGUUUGGUGAAGGAGUUCUACCCCAAAGAUGUAACUAUAAGUCUGCAAUCAUCCAAGAAAAUAAUAGAAUAUGAGCCUGCUAUUGACAUCUCACCUGGGGGGAGGUACAGUGCUAUCAAGCUUGGUCAGUAUGGAGACCCCGAUUCAGUGACAUGUUCGGUUGAACACAACCAACAAACCUGGCACUCUACUGACUUUGAACCAAAGAAAACUAUUCCAGAAACAACUCCAAAACCGACGGAAUAUGAAAACAGCACAAAAGCUGAAGUUCCAGUGACCUGCCAAGAGCCCCAAGUGCAACCCGGGAAGGUGAACAUGAUGUCCCUCUCGGUGCUGGGGCUCCGAAUGCUGUUUGCCAAGAGUGUCGCCGUCAAUUUUCUCUUGACUGCCAAGUUAUUUUUCUUUUAAGGCUGACUGGCAUGAGAAGGCUGCAUUCCCUGAAAGAAACCAAAAGCCUACAGAGAAGCUAUCUCCUAGGCUUUCAACUUUUUCGUGAUUCAAGUUGACCCAUCCCAGCCUUGCUUAAAUGGCUGCUCCCCAAACUGGUUUUCCUUUAAAGGCAACAAACCCAGCUUAUCCUUCAGCCUGAUGAAAGACAGAAGUCCUGGGGAAUGGGGGCUUAUGGCCCCAACUGUUUUAUAUGCUGCUUUAUAAAGGGAUAAGAGAUAUGAAGGUACAUAGGACUCAUUUUUUUCCCUAUGACUGACAUACUUUGAAAGUGGUGUUUUGUUCCUUUGACUUUCUUUGCCUCCAGAACUAGAAAGUGGGACCCAUCCAGUUCCCAGCUCCAUCCUCCAAGAGGAAAAAUAGAUCCUCUUGGGGAAAGGAGAGCGGGUGUCCUUCUACCUAAAUGUAAAAGCCUCUGCUCAACCCAGCACUAGAUUUGCCCAAACUAGCGUUCACAUCCACAAAAGCACUUUCUGCUUUCCCUAAUACUUGAGAAACAAAGCAACACUUGACUCCCUAAUACUCUCUUUGUAGGCAAUGGGGUCUCAUCUAAAUACUCUCAGAGCUAUUAGCAGAGAUCAGAGUAAAAUGCAGAGGAGAUUGCUUUCCUCAACUUAACAAACGUGAAUUAUUGCAAGUUCCAGGCACUGUGCUGAGAGUGCAAAAAUAAGUAAGACAUGGGUCUUGCUUUCAAGCAACUCACUGUGCAAGUAUUUUUGGAGGGAGGGAUAGGAAUGAGUCCCCAAUAUUUCCCUGUAAAACCAAAGUCUUCCUGACCCCUUGCCUGCCCAUCUGUACAAGGGGAAUUUGAGGGCAUUGGAUCUUUGGUGUUGAUGGUUUUCUGCCGUUUUUCUUUGUCUCUGUUGCAUGUAUUAAAGUGCAUUGUAUGUA